UACGUAGGGUGCAAGCGUUGUCCGGAAUUAUUGGGCGUAAAGAGCUCGUAGGCGGCUUGUCGCGUCGGCUGUGAAAACCUGGGGCUCAACCCCGGGCCUGCAGCCGAUACGGGCAAGCUAGAAUUCGGUAGGGGAGACUGGAAUUCCUGGUGUAGCGGUGAAAUGCGCAGAUAUCCGAAGGAACACCGGUGGCGAAGGCGGCUUCCUGGACCGACACUGACGCUGAGGCGCGAAAGCUAGGGGAGCAAACGGG
rnacentral:rRNA from 1 species